ACGAAAACAUCAGUGACGUAUGUGCGGCCCGUUGGAAUAUAAAAUACUUUCAUUUGAUCUUGCCUUCGCUUUUAUCUUCAUCUCGUUGAUUCUUAUUUAAAUGUUGUCUUGUUCGUAAUUGAAGUUUCGCAUAUUUCUUGAAGGGGACAAAAAACAACAAAGGCGAGCUGGUAAAACGAAUUUCGCCACUGUCUGCAACCCCACUCGAGCGCUUCGUCUUCCUCUGCGAUAGAGGACUUUGCUCUCCAUUCAUUGUGAAGCUUAGUGCUCAACAGGGACAAAAUGUUUAUACGGUUCCGCGGUAUGUUUGGCCGGCUGCCAGAGGAUACUGCGCGUACGUCUUGCCGACGAAAAUAGACAGCCACGGACUAAAAUCCCCCAUGACUUCUCUUUCGUCGUUUUCGCCUCUCCGUGCGACGUGGGGCAUGAAAUGACGAAGACCAGAGCGGGGGAGGAGCCGAGACUGCGUGGAUCCGAUAUCUGUGGUGUACGAGCAGAAGAAACCAAGUGUCUUCUGCAUUGGCUGGCUGGCUGGCUUCCGCUCUCGUCUCUUUUCUUUUUUAACGAAGAAGAAACGCCAGGGGGAGACUGCCGAGGGAGGAGACACCUUGGCUCGCACCCUCGCCAAGCAGCGUACGUUGGCCCUGCGGCAUCGUCGCCGUUGACGUCUCUCCGUUCUUUGUAACAGGGCGACCGCGUGUUCUCUCUCUACUGCGUCUUCGGUUUUCGGUGUUUACCGGGAAAUCGUCUACGCGAGUAGCGAUGAUUUCACAAAGAUGGCCGGGUGUAUGGCAAGUACGUGCCUUCCUUGACGUUCUUGUGUCAUUUCCAUCGUGCAUUUUCUUCAUUUUUCUUUAAAUAAAAAAUUCAUACGUAAUCAUAACUUUGCAGAUUAAAUUGCGUCCUUGCGAUUAUUUCUUUAUUCGUAAGAAUUAUAAAUUUCUAUCAAUGUAGAUUAACUUUAAUCUCGGUUUAACUUAUUCUUUAUCUUUUCUCAAUUCUCAAAACCUAAUAAAAAGAUAAAAAAUAAAUUAAACCAAUUACAGUUAAUCUCUAUAUAUUGGUAGAAGUAAACAUAAAUCAAAUUAAUUUUUUUUUCAACAUUGCGGGAUAAACUUCAGAUAAAAAUUGUUGAAAACUUAAGAGAAGAAUACAAAUAAAUAUACAUAAAUACAACCAAUACAAGUCGACAGGAAAGACUUGAUACAUUCAUCUUCAUCAAGGUCGUGCCAGAUCGCGACAAAAAUGUCGUUCGCAUUCGUGACGCGCGUUUAUGCGACCUUGAUUUUCGCGAAUGUCUAUUUUUCAUCUUGGAAUUUCCCCGCGGUGCGAACAACACGAUCCGACGACGCGGGCCGUUCUGUCUCAGUGACUUUUAUUGCGACUUCUGUGUAUCUCUUCAACAACGCAGGACUCUUUCGCAGCACGUGCGCUCUUAUACGAGGGUGACUCCAAAAAGUAAAGCUACGAAAGCGCAAACAAAGCAGUUUGUAACGGCGCAUAACGUGUUCAUUAGACGCAUGGAACUCGAUACUUCCGGUAAACUUGCAAUUGUUAAUACUUUUCGGUAUGUAUCUUGCUCUGUUACUCGCUCGCUUCUGAAAUGAUAGAACUUUUAGUAAAGAAUACAAUUAUAAAUAAAUACAAUAAAUUUCAAAUAGCAAAACAGCGUUAGAAGAUUUACAAUAAAUUCUAUUUUAAAUAAUGAUAAGAUAUAUGAUCAGUGUAAAAAGUAAUUUCCAAAUAAGAAUUUCAAUUAGGAAUCUAGUGGUUUUACAAAUGUAUGCAAUUGCAUUUUCAAGUGUCAAAAGAUAGGAGGUACAUGUAAUAGGAUUAUUAUAAAGUGUGAGAUUUACGAUGAUUAACAAUCUAUAUUCACCUUUAUGAUCACUUUAUAUAAUAACAAUGAGCGAUAAUACAUCGGUUUGCAAUCGCGAAACGCGCAACAUCUUAAAUUACGGCCACACAAAAAUGCUUAUGGAUGGAUUUCGCUAAUACGAAGCUGAUUCGUAUGUCUGUUAAAUGCAUUGUGAACAAUUAAGUUAAAUACAGUCAAAAUUUGCAUAGCUUUUUCACAUUGUCGUUAUAUCAAUAUCGUUGAUUUAGGCCAAAGCGGUAAAAUUCUUUGAUUAUAGAUUUAACAGUCAAAGAUCUGCAUUCAUUCAGCGCAUUUAAGCGUUACACGUGCCAUCCAAUUGCCAUCAACAGGCCUAAGUCAAAUGCAUUUUUUACGUAAAUAGAGAUGGGAAUCGCAGAAUCAUAUCUAAUGCUAUAUGUAUAACGCCAAUUUUUUCGUUUCCAGCUUCCUCAAUAUCGUAAACUGACGUAAACAUACCCUUUCUUCGUUCUUAAUGUGUAAACAUUUAUGUUAAUGUCUUUUUUGGUAUAAUUGUUCCAGUUUAUAGAUAUGUUCUGUGUUGAGGUUCAAGUUAUUUGGCACCAUCUGCGAUUCUUAAAUAAAAUACUGAAAAACGUCGAGUCAUGGCAUCUGUUUUCGUUUCUUUUGUACGAUUAUAAUUCGAAAAUGAGUUAUUUUCUAAAUAAAUAUCAUAAAGAGUAAAAUGUAAUGUAAUUUAAAAAAAAAAACAUAGCAAUAUAAAUAUUAAAAUCAUUUUUGUCAAACAUUUUUUUUUAAUCAGUUAAGAUCGCAAAUUGGUUUAAUAGCUUUGUCAAAAGAGAUGUAAAGUCUGAAAAUGUUAUUAGAAACGUGCAAGAUAUCCUCUUAUCACACGUAUUUUGGCGCAAUGCACAACCGUGCACCGUAUUCACAACUAUCCAGUACAGACCAUCACUUACAAUCGCGACAGAUCAUCAUCUCAAUCUGUAAAUAGUUUUAUAAAUUCGCAUGUUAUAAUAUGUUCAUCACACAUUACAUUCUUCGAAUCUAAUAUAUAUAUAUAUAUAUAUCGCAUAAAAUUGUUAUCAGAGAUAAAAUGUAUUCAUUAGGCAUUUGAGAAAUUGCACGUUUUUACGGAAAGCUUUUUUUAAAUAACACAUAUUGUUAUACAAACAAAAGCUCUUCUUGUGUGAUUACACCAUGCACGUUCCUACACACAAUGCAAUAAUUAUCAUUAUAACAAUCUAAUACUAAUUUUAACGAGUUUGGUGUUUUCUCUUAGAACGAUAUCUCACCUCUGAGUAUUAUAGCUACGUAUAUGUAACGCAAAUUAUAUACUUACGCAAAUUGACGAAAUUAUUAGAAGCCCUCGGACACAAAAUUAUAUUAUAUGCGUGCAUAAUUUACGUAUGUAUUAUUACGUGCAUAAUGCAUACGUAGAAUUGCGAUUAAUCUUGUUCAGUGUGAGUAAUUGCGUAUUCGUUUGUAAUUGUUAAAUUAAAUCCUGUAAAUUAAACAAGAGAUGUAAAAAAUUUAAAGUUAAAAUUAAAAAAAAGUGUUUGUUAAAAGAAUGUGAUUGUUAAUAUUUAUCAUUUAAGAUUUGCUAUUACGCAGUUGAAAUUUACUAAUAUAAUAAAUUAAUAAUUAUAUUUUAUCAUCUCUAUCUUCUUACCGACGCUCGUGUGAAUAGUAUUAGAGUUCAAUCAAUUGACUAAUGUAGAAUAGGCUUUGGAACAGCUAUGGCAUAAUAUGCAUUCAAAAACACACACACACUUUCUCUCUCUCUCUCUCCUUCUUUGCAACAUUAUAAUAUGUACGUAUAAUAUUUAUAACGUUACAUCAACGUUAAAUUUUGGAAAAUGUAUCGUCACAUAACGUUAUAAUAAUGCUACGUAAAUAAACGUUUUCUAAAAUAUCAUAUAUAGUAAAUAGUAGAAAUGAGAAAGUGAGAUACAUACAUAUAUAGAUAUAAAAGAUAUAAUAGUAAUUCUGAUAUUUGCACUGAUGGAAUGUUUAUAAAUACUGUUAGACAUUUGCUCCCUAUUUAUCUGUGCAUAGUAAUAUAAAUACUUCUGUGCAUUUUAUACAGCCUGACAGCAUUAAAAUUUUAAUUAAUCGAAUUACGUCAAUAUUAAAAAACGGCAAUAUUAACAUCGUAAAAUUGAUGUAACUUAACGUUAAUGUUAUCCAGUCGUUGUUCAUUACGAAAUAAAUGGCAAAAGCAAA
rnacentral:lncRNA from 13 species